UCCUUCUUAGCUCAGUUGGUAGAGCGCGUCACUAGUAUCUGUAUUCAAGUGACUUAUCUAAUGACGAGGUCAGUCGUUCAAGUCGGCUAGAAGGAA